CAAUUAGUCUUGACUGCUACUUCUUUGUGAACCCAGUAAAGAAAAUGAGAGAUUGAAUUCCAUGAACAAUAACAGGAAGGUGUGAUUUGGGGGAGGAAGGCCAGUCUUUCUACUGUGGUAAACACAACAACCUCACGGAUAUCGACGCAAAGACUCUAUGUAACGAAUACUUUGUUUAUGGUUAUCUUUUCUCAAAGCUCACACAAGGCGCACUGUGAAUGGACAAAAACAACAUGAUUGCUGAAGUAAGAUUUGUGUUUGUGGAGUUUGAUGUUCAUUUUGCAAGUCUUGUAGAAGGACCUGUUGUUGCUGAUGUUGUUACAGGGGGAGGGGAAUACAACAACUUGGAAAAUGUGCAAGAAGGCAGAGCUAA